rnacentral:misc_RNA from 1 species
CCUGCUUGUUAUCAGCACCACAUACAUUGUAUGUCCUAGGGUAAGCUUAGGGACCUGCCCUGACAGCUUUCUAGGUGAGGGACAGUUGAAACCUGAUGAAACCUGAGUGAUAUACAAGACUACGUUAACCAACACUUAACCAUCAUUACUCUCAACACACACGAUGCAAACAAAAGUAUGUCAUGCACGUGCAGUACCUGCGAGAAGGUUGUACGUCAGUACGUAGACACACAGGAAAAGGUGCCAAAUUUGUUCGUUGAUCACCUUGACAUAUGCGAUUUAAAAGGCAAAAGGAAACAUAAAACGCAAAAGCAGAAAAGACUGAGAGAAAUCGAAAUCCAUUUGUCUGCCCUCAGAAAUACAGCAGGUGGCAAAAUUAUUCUUCAUGUCAACGGGACAGCUUGUGACGAUCGUUUCCUUGGAUGCGUUGAUGAGUUCCUGGAAGAAAGUUUGAAUAAUUUCAUAUGUGAUGGAACCUUGUUUGUUGAUACAUACACACGGAGAUGGCUAAGUGAGAUAAGCACAUUUGAGGAAUUCACAGAUUGUAUCCUCAUAUCGGUUGAGAAAACAAAAGGAGUUGCUACUGUGGAUUUUAAAACGAAGAUUUGUUCGGACUUAAAAGUCGAAAGGCCAUCAACUCUUAACAUCGUGUCUAUCUUGUGUCACAGGAAGAGUUCCUUCGAAAAAGCAGCAACAUUAAGAGGCCUGCCACCAAAUCCACAAGAAAGUCGAAACAUCCAGCUCAAAACAUAUCGACCUAAAGACCAAGAAAAAAGCAACAUUGAAAGUCACCCAGAUAAAUUUGCUAUUUAUAUUUGGGACAAACUUCGCUUCCGGGAAUACCUCAGCUGUAUGACCAAAGAUGAAGACGGAGGGUCCUUUUAUUUAGGAAUUACAGAAAAAGAAACGGAAUAUCAGCGUGCAUCACCGGGGAGCCCACGAACCUACAGUAGUUUGGUUCCAGAUAUUGAGGGAUUUGUAUUGCCCUGUAGUGAAGAUGAUUUAAAGAACAGUCUUCUGCGUUUGAUUCAAUCUCACGUCAGGAUACUACACGUUGAUACAGCCCUCAAGACCCUUUCACCAGAUCUUGUAAAAUUUCAAUUUCAUCGUUUGGAACGAAUUUCUUCUGAAAGCAAAAGGUAUGUUCUGGAGAUUGCGGUUGGUUAUACGGGCGGGAUAGUGUUCUAUGACGAAGAAGGUCCAGUGGCGUAUCACUUAAAUGAAGGGGAAGUUCAAAGAAUUACCCCUGACGACUGGUUGAGCAGAGUAACAAAAACCUUUGAUGAUCUCAAAGGUGAUUCAUCUCCAUAGUAAGCAAGAACCUUGUGAACAAAAACUAAAGUAGAUGAACUCAUUUAUCGAUUCAUUACAGCAGAAUCUUCAUACGUUUUCUUCUUGGUCAGAAUCAAUAAUAUAAAAUGACAUCAAGUUCCGAUGCGAAUCGUUCGAGUCUCUCAGACGGUACCUUAGACAACCUUCAUAAAGGAAUGGUUUGUGCUUACAAUAACAAACGUGAAGACAGCAGUGGUGGCAAUGAUGAAACAUUGGACAACCCAAAAAAACAAGUCCACAAAGGCAGGAUCCGAUGGUUAUAUUAGCGAAUCGUCCACUAUCCUCAGACGCAAAAAACGACUAAUACCAGAUGAAGUGACUCUUGCUAAGCCCCAGCAGUUACCUUCCAGUUAUGACCAGAAGGAUCUGAUGAGUAUUUUGAUGAAUAUUCAAACACAACAAGACACCCUGCUGAAGGAGGUAAGGGAGAUCAAAGACACACAGAAAGAGAUUCAACGAGAUCUGGUGAGACUUAAGGGCAGCAGCAGUGAUGGUGACCUCAGUGUAUCGGGUCUUAACUAUGAAAGACGUGCCCGAUAUUCAAUUCGUCCCAUAAGCACAGUAUCUAUGAGAAUUCAAGAAAUGCUGAAUUCUGAAUCAUCAUAUGGAGAAACAAAUGAAGAGGAGAUCAAUACCAAACUUUAAGAUUGUUAUUAGUUUGUAAUCACUGCACAACACGAACUUUCGUGUGUACUAAUGGAUGUCCUAAUGACAAACUUUAAGUCAGUCUUUCACCGACGACCAGACAAAUGAGUUUCAUCCUUGAAAAGUACAGCUUAGAAAUACUUUGUCAAUUUCAAUGAAUCGGUUAUAUGUAUACCCGUUCCUAAGAAUUACAUUCAACCACAUAUUCAAUGAGUUUAUACAAAUGUAUUUAUGCGCUUCUUAGAAUCUCAGUUCAUACUCCUGAAGAAUCUGGCCCGGUAACAUAUGCAGUUGUCAUGUGUAGGAGUCGUGGUAUCGUACCUUCAUGUUUCAAGUUGAUACGAGUGAACUGAACAUGAAAACAGAAAUCAUCUAAGAACAGGUUUUUUAAUGUCACUUAUUGACAUUUUAAGAAGGAACAUGAAAAAAUACUGUGUGAAAUGUGUACCCUACAGAAAUUUGUCACGGAAGUAAAACCAUGUUUCAGAUAACGUAAUGUCACAAACGUGUGAAGGCAUGAACAGUGUAUUUUCACAAGAUGACGAUUUGUGGCUUCAGCAUAGAAAUUCGGCAUUGGGAAUCUAUUACCACAUAUGCAGAUAUAGAUAAGAAGAGAACAUUUAAGUAGUGAUCAUUGUGGGAAUCGUUGAAGCUGCUAUAUAAAUGUGAGUUCGUGAUUUCAUUCAAGCAAUCAGAAUUAGUUUUAAAUAAUGUGAAGUCAGGAAAACUACUAAAGAACAAAAAGCAAAAACUCCGUUAGAAAUGCUGCGAUGGAUUUGCAACCCAAUACAGAUUUGUAUCCAAAUAGGAAGGAAAGUAUUGUUUGUUAUUGCCUACAAGAGAAGCUGCAUUGAAGAAGUUCAUUUGUUCCAGCUCCACAAAAAGAUUUCGUUGUGCAGCGCUAGAUGUGUUAAUAUUUUCAUAUGAUGAUAGUAAGAGAACGUAAACCCUAAUCACCCCUCUCUCUCUCUCUCUCUCUCUCUCUCUCUCUCUCUCUCUCUCUCUCUCUCUCUCUCCC